UACCAGCACCCCGAGUGGUCGGGACGAUUAUUGGGCCUAAAGCAUCCGUAGCCGGCCUUACAAGUCCUCCGUUAAAUCCAGCUGCUUAACAGAUGGGCUGCGGAGGAUACUAUAAGACUAGGAGGCAGGAGAGGCAAGCGGUACUCAGUGGGUAGGGGUAAAAUCCGUUGAUCCAUUGAAGACCACCAGUGGCGAAGGCGGCUUGCCAGAAUGCGCUCGACGUGAGGGAUGAAAGCUGGGGGGAGCAAACCGG
rnacentral:rRNA from 1 species